rnacentral:lncRNA from 1 species
AUCUCUCAUCAACUUCUAACUCACUUGAAAUAAUGAAGGUGAUGUGGUGACCAGAGACCAACCUUGAGGGUUGAAGGCAUCUUGCAGCUAUAGUGAUGAACUUUUGGUAUUCGUGCCUCAUCUCUAAGUGAUAUCUGGAUGCUCAAUAUAUAUACGUACACAUGGCAUAAAAGUUUGUCAACCAAAUAUUCAGCUGAAAUGAUGUGUUUGGAUGCCUAAUUAUGAUGUUUGGAUCUCGGUCUCUCCACCUACAUCCAUACACAGAUCACCCAAAUAGCAUUUGAUGCCUGUGUCAUCUGGUUCCUCCUGCCUUAGCCUUACCCGGUAGGAUAGCUAUAUAUUUAUUCACCUUAACAAUGAAUAUAAUUCCUACUCCCUAGUCCUGAAAAAAAUGAUGGGAUGUAUGACUUUUUCUAGGGAGGAUGCAACAAGCUUCUGGGCUGAAUCUUCUACUCUCCACCUGUUUAAUUACUUGAUCAAAUUGAAACCUGUGGUGGCUUGUCACCUUUUGGAUCAUACAAGCACACGCAUGCACAUAAGCGCACACAGAUAUUG